rnacentral:rRNA from 1 species
AGUGAACGCUGGCGGUAGGCCUAACACAUGCAAGUCGAAGGGCAGCACAGUAAGAGCUUGCUCUUACGGGUGGCGAGUGGCGGACGGGUGAGGAAUACAUCGGAAUCUACUUUUUCGUGGGGGAUAACGUAGGGAAACUUACGCUAAUACCGCAUACGACCUACGGGUGAAAGCAGGGGAUCUUCGGACCUUGCGCGAUUGAAUGAGCCGAUGUCGGAUUAGCUAGUUGGCGGGGUAAAGGCCCACCAAGGCGACGAUCCGUAGCUGGUCUGAGAGGAUGAUCAGCCACACUGGAACUGAGACACGGUCCAGACUCCUACGGGAGGCAGCAGUGGGGAAUAUUGGACAAUGGGCGCAAGCCUGAUCCAGCCAUACCGCGUGGGUGAAGAAGGCCUUCGGGUUGUAAAGCCCUUUUGUUGGGAAAGAAAAGCAGCAGGUUAAUACCCCGCUGUUCUGACGGUACCCAAAGAAUAAGCACCGGCUAACUUCGUG